rnacentral:misc_RNA from 1 species
AACCCAUCAAUUUCAUCUUCCUCUUCCUCAUCCUCAUAAGCUUCUUCAUCUUCAUAAACCUCUUCUUCAACAUCUUCCCCUUCUAAUUCCUCUUCAUCAUCAUCGUAUUCUGCUGCCCCACCCUGGCCAUCGCAUUCGUCAGAAUGAAUGGGGGCCCUCCGAUCCAUUCUGGGCUUCUCUUCCCCUUCGCCUUCCUCAUCGUCACUUGCCGCUUCACGCCUUCUCAUCCCCAGAAGGCGCUUUUCCUCCUCAGGAUCGCUCUCAUAUUCAACGUCCUCUUCGCCCACCUUCGCCAUUAAAACCAAACCUAGAAUAAAACUUUUACUCUAAAAAAGCCAAUUUAGAGACAAUUUAAAACUAAUCAAAACCAGCCUAAGCCCUGAAACUCCAAAAAAAUUUCUUAGAGACCAAACACCAAUGGUAGAAGCUGCAAGUCAAUUCUCAAACGGAAAAAAAUCCCCCAACAGACACAAAUUAUUGAAGACCUUAUGCAAUCAGACGCCCCAAAAAGCUUAAAUUUCUCACUAGCCAAAAAAGCCAAAUUAAGAAAUUCAUGUCAAUGAAAACCCUAAUAGUUCAAUUUCUCAAAUAAACCAAACACCAAUUCGAGAUAAUGAGAAGAAAUCGAAACCCCUAAAAGCAUAAACUUCAUUCAAUCACUGAGUUAUGCACGCUUCUGGAUCUAGCAGUCCAGAUUUGCGCAAACCCUAAUGAGAGAC